rnacentral:rRNA from 1 species
UAGAGUUUGAUCCUGGCUCAGGAUGAACGCUGACAGAAUAGCUUAACACAUGCAAGUCAACUUGAAUUGGGUUUUAACUUAGAUUUGGGUGGCGGACGGGUGAGUAACGCGUAAAGAACUUGCCUCACGGCUAGGGACAACAUUUAGAAAUGAACGCUAAUACCUAAUAUUAUGAUAAUAGGGCAUCCUAUAAUUAUGAAAAGCUAUAUGCGCUGUGAGAGAGCUUUGCGUCCCAUUAGCUAGUUGGAGAGGUAACGGCUCACCAAGGCGAUGAUGGGUAGCCGGCCUGAGAGGGUGAUCGGCCACAAGGGGACUGAGACACGGCCCUUACUCCUACGGGAGGCAGCAGUGGGGAAUAUUGGACAAUGGACCGAGAGUCUGAUCCAGCAAUUCCGUGUGCACGAUGAAGUUUUUCGGAAUGUAAAGUGCUUUCAGUUGGGAAGAAAGAAAUGACGGUACCAACAGAAGAAGUGACGGCUAAAUACGUG